rnacentral:rRNA from 1 species
CGACCGGCGCACGGUGGAGUAACGCGUAUCCAACCCGCCCACCACUUGGGGAGUAACCUUGCGAAAGUAAAGACUAAUACCCAAUGAUAUCUCUAGAAGACAUCUGAAAGAGAUUAAAGAUUUAUCGGUGAUGGAUGGGGAUGCGUCUGAUUAGCUUGUUGGCGGGGUAACGGCCCACCAAGGCAACGAUCAGUAGGGGUUCUGAGAGGAAGGUCCCCCACAUUGGAACUGAGGCACGGUCCAA